GACGAACGCUGGCGGCGUGCCUAAUACAUGCAAGUAGAACGCACAGUUUAUACCGUAGCUUGCUACACCAUAGACUGUGAGUUGCGAACGGGUGAGUAACGCGUAGGUAACCUGCCUGGUAGCGGGGGAUAACUAUUGGAAACGAUAGCUAAUACCGCAUAAUAUUGAUUAUUGCAUGAUAAUUGAUUGAAAGAUGCUAUUGCAUCACUACCAGAUGGACCUGCGUUGUAUUAGCUAGUAGGUGAGGUAACGGCUCACCUAGGCGACGAUACAUAGCCGACCUGAGAGGGUGAUCGGCCACACUGGGACUGAGACACGGCCCAGACUGCUACGGGAGGCAGCAGUAGGGAAUCUUCGGCAAUGGACGAAAGUCUGACCGAGCAACGCCGCGUGAGGGAAGAAGGUUUUCGGAUCGUAAAGCUCUGUUGUAAGAGAAGAACGGGUGUGAGAGUGGAAAGUUCACACUGUGACGGUAUCUUACCAGAAAGGGACGGCUAACUACGUG
rnacentral:rRNA from 1 species